UACGUAGGGACCGAGCGUUGUCCGGAUUCAUUGGGCGUAAAGAGCUCGUAGGCGGCCACUCAAGUCGAAUGUGAAACCUCGAGGCUUAACCUCGAGCCUGCAUUCGAUACUGGGCGGCUAGAGUCUGGUAGGGGAAUCUGGAAUUCCUGGUGUAGCGGUGAAAUGCGCAGAUAUCAGGAAGAACACCUAUGGCGAAGGCAGCUCUCUGGGACGGUACUGACGCUGAGACGCGGAAGCGUGGGGAGCGAACAGG
rnacentral:rRNA from 1 species